GCACCUGGGAUCCACACACAGCCCACAGCAAACUCUGAAAACCUUGUACUCUGCACAGCUGAACAUCCAGGCUUUGGCUCUGCAAAUUGCUCAGACUUCAAUUUGGGAUUGCCAAGAGGCCUCAAAUGAUCCCUACUUAUGUGGUCUAAUACACAGAGGAUUAAUAGUGCACCCUUCAGUAUUGCCUCCACCCCAUAAAAUACCAGUCCUUCCAGAGUGUGACAGGAGUAAUUCCUGCAGAGAGCUUCAGGUAGACGGAGAAACCUGGCUGGUGCUGGUAUCAGAGGAACUGAAGGCAUGACAGACACAAGUCUUUCCUGACCCACAUGGGGCUGGAAGCAGACCUGUAUCUUGAAGGGCAACUAAAUACAGAUUUUGGAGUCCCAUUCA